UACAGGGGGUGCGAGCGUUAAUCGGAAUUACUGGGCGUAAAGCGUGCGUAGACGGCUAUCUAAGUCGGGUGUGAAAGCCCCGGGCUCAACCUGGGAAUUGCAUUCGAGACUGCAUUGCUGGAGUACGGAAGAGGAGGGCGGAAUUCCCGGUGUAGCGGUGAAAUGCGUAGAUAUCAGGAGGAACACCUGCGGUGUAGACGGCUUACUGGACCAUAACUGACGCUGAGGCACGAAAAGCGUGGGUAGCAAACAGG
rnacentral:rRNA from 1 species